UGUGACGUUCGGUGUGUGUGUAUUUCUUCAGCUCACUAAUUAAGGGGUUUCAUUAUGCGUUCGAUACCGUAGUAAUGUUAUCGUUUAUUUGUUUAACGACGUCCCUUACUGACUCAGAAUGCGGCGGUACUUACCGCCAUCUGCUCACAGUCGACUUCUGCCGCCGCCCCUCCUUCUCAUCACUUCGGUCACCGCAGUUCACUUGUGUUGCUGCCCGAAAAUCGAAGCGGGUAGACUGUCCAUGGUGGGAGGAAUGUCGAAUCCCUGCAUGUGUGUGAGUAGCGUAAACAAUCCCUAGAAUGGCGUCAACAUCUGGCAAGAGAGAGCAAACCAUUCAGAAUUGGACGUGCCCUUGUACCUCAGGCUAUUAUCCUGCUGCAUAAGCUAAUUGCACUUGAACUUCAGAUCACGGACUGACGGCCGCACUUUCUUCUUCAUUGCUUUCUGAAUUCAAGCUUCCCUCGUUUAUGUGUCAUGCAAAGGUGGAGGGGAUGCUGAUCCAGCAGAGGGCACCAGCACACAUCCACACCGUCACACCCUCACAUCGGGCUCAUUGAGAGUUGACACCAAAAACAAGCCAAGGGAUUGAGGAGAGGAAACUGAUGUCUGCAUCGAAAAUCCACACAGGAUAUGACGGG